GGGGCCAUCUUGUCUCAGUGGCAGAGCAUCUGCCUUGCAUGUAGAAGGUCCCAGGUUCAAACCCUAGUGGCAUCU